rnacentral:rRNA from 1 species
AACUAACGCUGGCGGCGUGCCUAACACAUGCAAGUCGUACGAGAAAGCCGGCUUCGGCUGGUGAGUAAAGUGGCGCACGGGUGAGUAACGCGUGGAUAAUCUGCCCUUAAGUGUGGAAUAACGUACCGAAAGGUGCGCUAAUACCGCAUAAUGCCUGGCAACACAAGUUGUCCGGCCAAAGAAGGCCUCUGUUUACAAGCUUUCGCUUCAGGAUGAGUCCGCGUACCAUUAGCUUGUUGGUGGGGUAACGGCCUACCAAGGCUACGAUGGUUAGCUGGUCUGAGAGGAUGAUCAGCCACACUGGAACUGAGACACGGUCCAGACUCCUACGGGAGGCAGCAGUGAGGAAUAUUGCGCAAUGGGGGCAACCCUGACGCAGCAACGCCGCGUGAGUGAGGAAGGUUUUCGGACUGUAAAGCUCUGUCGAGCGGGAAGAAAUGUACCAUGGCUAAUAUCCAUGAUAUUGACGGUACCGCUAGAGGAAGCACC